rnacentral:piRNA from 1 species
ACAUGAAGAAUGGGCAGGGCUUUG